rnacentral:rRNA from 1 species
UACGGAGGGGACUAGCGUUGUUCGGAAUUACUGGGCGUAAAGCGCACGUAGGCGGAUUGUAAGUCAGGGGUGAAAUCCCGGGGCUCAACCUCGGAACUGCCUUUGAUACUGCAAAUCUCGAGUCCGGAAGAGGUGAGUGGAAUUCCUAGUGUAGAGGUGAAAUUCGUAGAUAUUCGCAAGAACACCAGUGGCGAAGGCGGCUCACUGGCCCGAUACUGACGCUGAGGCACGAAGCGUGGGGAGCAAACAGG